AGAGCGAACGCUGGCGGCAGGCUUAACACAUGCAAGUCGAGCGGGCGUAGCAAUACGUCAGCGGCAGACGGGUGAGUAACGCGUGGGAACGUACCUUUUGGUUCGGAACAACCCAGGGAAACUUGUGCUAAUACCGGAUAAGCCCUUACGGGGAAAGAUUUAUCGCCGAAAGAUUGGCCCGCGUCUGAUUAGCUAGUUGGUGAGGUAACGGCUCACCAAGGCGACGAUCAGUAGCUGGUCUGAGAGGAUGAUCAGCCACACUGGGACUGAGACACGGCCCAGACUCCUACGGGAGGCAGCAGUUAGGAAUCUUGCGCAAUGGGGGAAACCCUGACGCAGCCAUGCCGCGUGAAUGAUGAAGGUCUUAGGAUUGUAAAAUUCUUUCAGCGGGGACGAUAAUGACGGUACCGCAGAAGAAGCUCCGGCUAACUCGUGCCAGCAGCCG
rnacentral:rRNA from 1 species